rnacentral:rRNA from 1 species
GAUGAACGCUGGCGGCGUGCUUAACACAUGCAAGUCGAACGGAAAGGCCCUGCUUUUGUGGGGUGCUCGAGUGGCGAACGGGUGAGUAAAACGUGAGUAACCUGCCCUUGACUUUGGGAUAACUUUAGGAAACUGGGGCUAAUAUCGGAUAGGAGCUCCUGCUGCAUGGUGGGGGUUGGAAAGUUUCGGCGGUUGGGGAUGGACUAGCGGCUUAUCAGCUUGUUGGUGGGGUAGUGGCUUACCAAGGCUUUGAAGGGUAGCCGGCCUGAGAGGGUGACCGGGCACAUUGGGACUGAGAUACGGACCAGACUCCUACGUGAGGCAGCAGUGGAGAACAUGGCACAAUGGGCGGAAGCCAGAUGCAGCAACGCCGCGUUCGUGAUGACGGCCUUCUGGUGGUAAACCGCUUUCGCCUUUGACGAAGCGUGAGUGACGGUAAUGGGUAAAGAAGCACCGGCUAACUACGUG